UAUAUGGAAAGGACUUACUCAUUUUAUUUAUCCUCUGGUAACUAUAAAGGUAAUAAGUGACCCCAAAGGAAAAAUGCCUGCGAGGCAGCAGGGGAAGGCUGGGAAUUAAUCAGAAAUUGAACCGCAUUUGGUUGCGAUGCCAGAAAUGUAAAUGCUUCCCUACAGGGAGGCUCUGCCUGAGGGGCAGUGCUGGUAACUGAGCGAGGGCUGCAUCCAGGGACAUGAGCUGCCCGGCCCACGGGGUCUGGGGGAAGGAUGAGCGCUGGCACUGGGUGGCACAGCAGCAUCUUACCUCUGUUGCAGCCGAGUGCAUGUCCAUCAGCCCUGCUCCAGCCGGGACAGCACGAGGCCAUGGGCUGGGGCAGCUGCUUGUAUGCCUGCCGGUAGCCAACCCUGUAGAUGGUCCUGCAAGGCAAGCAUGGGGCUGAGCAUCUCCCCCAAGCACCCAUCCCAUUCCCAGAGGCCGGGAGCCCCUUCCCUACGGAUUGAGGCUGGAUUCCCCCCCUCCACAGCCGGGACCAGGUCCAUGGCGCAGGCAGCAUCCUCACCUGUAUGUGCUGCAGAGGUGGCCCUGGCAGGUAGUGAGGUAGGGCUGGUACACGGGCUGCACGUGGGACUCGGUGUAGGAAAUCGCCCGGCUCCGCGGCACCGCGACACAGACCCUGCGGCUGAGCAGGGGGGACAGGUCAGACACCGGCUGAGCCCAGCGCGCCGCUUCCCCCUCCUGCACUCACAGCAGCCCCUCUCCUCUGAGCGCCACGGACAGGGCAGUGCCCGGUUGCCCCAGUGACCGGGAGGGGACCCCAAGCUGUGCCAGGGCAGUGGCACAGGGCUGGAGUCCUGGGGGCUGCUCGGGCUCUUCCUCCCCUCGGACACUCACCCUGGCUCCAUCCCGGGGGAGCUGCUGGAGUCAGGAUUUAGGGGGGAUUUACCCAGAGCAGUUCUUCCAUUCAUCGCCUCCCUUCCCCUGAAAUCACUCACUUUCUGGGGGGAUUUUUCCAUUCUGAGACUUUUGCAUUCCACAAACAGAGCCCCUGCACUCACCAAGAGAUUAAUGAUUUCACAGGAAGGGUCAGGCUCACCGAGGGAAAGUAGAGGCCAGAGGGAAGUCACCCUCCAGCCUCCCUGAGAUAACUGUGACCCACUC
rnacentral:lncRNA from 1 species